UAAUACUUAACGAAUCGCAUGGCUUGUGCGUCGAUGGUUCAUUCAAAUUUCUGCCCUAUCAACUUUCGAUGGUAGAGUAGUGGUCUACCAUGGUUUCAACGGGUAACGGGGAAUUAGGGUUCUAUUCCGGAGAGGGAGCCUGAGAAACGGUACCACAUCCAAGGAAGGCAGCAGGCGCGCAAAUUACCCAAUCCCGACACGGGGAGGUAGUGACAAUAAAUAACAAUAUAGGGCUCUAUUGGGUCUUAUAAUUGGAAUGAGUACAAUUUAAACCCCUUAAACGAGGAACAAUUGGAGGGCAAGUCUGGUGCCAGCAGCCGCGGUAAUUCCAGCUCCAAUAGCGUAUAUUAACAGUUGUUGCAGUUAAAAAGCUCGUAGUUGAACUUCGAACCUGGUUGGGUGGUCUGCCUUCACGGUACGUACUGCUUGGCCGGGUUCUACCUCUUGGUGAGCCGGAUGCCCUUCACUGGGUGUGUCGGGGAACCAGGACUUUUACCUUGAGAAAAUUAGAGUGUCAAAAGCAGGGCCUUUGCCCGAAUUACAUUAGCAUGGAAUAAUAAAAUAGGACGUGCGGUUCUAUUGGUGGUUCUAGAGUCCGCCGUAAUGUUUAAUAGGGGAUGGUUGGGGGCAU
rnacentral:rRNA from 1 species